rnacentral:lncRNA from 1 species
AAGCUGCUCGGUGAGUCUGAUCAGAAUCCGGAGCGCGCUAACACUCCAAGACUUUUCCUCGUACUUCUCCUCUUCUGUUUCCUCGCGCUUUUCCUCUUCCAAGCUGCGGAUCUUCUUCUCGGUUUUUCCCCUGUGGUUUAGCGACCGGUUUGCCUUGUGGAAAGCUUCGAGAUACGUGAACUCAACAUAUCCCCCUCGGCCAUCGCUAAGAUGGGUUUCACUGCGAUUUGGGAGAAGAUCCACCACACCUCCGCAACAUCCACAAUCUGGGCAUACACAUCGAUGAUCGGGAUUGUGGGCAUUUGCGCAAGGC